rfam:Hymenolepis nana genome assembly, scaffold: HNAJ_contig0002073
ACCACGGCCCUCUUUAGGGCCACACCACAUUUUUUGUUUUUAAGUAG